AUGGGAGGGGGAGAGGAUCCUUGGAUCAGCCGCGCUGCGAAGCGGGACUGGGCAGGAUUGUGCCAAGCGGGACUUUUCCUGCUGCCAGAGCUCCUCCGCAGCGUCACUCGCUGCCGGGAAGGGAGGGAGCGCGGUGUGUGUCUGCCGGGGGCACGGUGCGGAGCGGGAAGAGAUCCUCCGAGAACCCCCACUGAAGCAGAAGCAUCUAAAACAUAUCCAGAGAGGUCUGCAGAUCCGGUGGAGAUGGGAGCUCCUGUGCCUUUCCUCAAUGCUCUGCCUAAAACCUCCACUCUCUGGUGGCGAGGAGCCUCUCGGUUGGCCAAGGCCCCAUUCCAAGGAGGGAAGAUGCACCCUGCCCCUCUGCCAGCCCGGUCAGAUUUGGCUGCUGUGUCAGGAGUUCUGGUCAGGUUCCAUUUAAUUAUAUCGGGAAAAGCAAAGCUCAGCUUGCAACGCUUGCUGGAAGGAAAACCACUUGCACCUGUCCUGGUUUACCGGUGAGUGUGGUGGAUCCCAACUCUUCACCUCUUCACUCUCUCUGGUGACCCUUUGGUUCAGUGUCUUUGGGUCUCUGUCUCUCAUUGCCUGAUGCAAUUAUCGUUAAUCGAGGCAAUGUACCUGCCCACAGCUGAGUCGCUUCAGCAGAGCAGCAGCAAUGGAGCAGUGCUUCACAGAGGGCAGAGGCUCCUCCGCAAAGCGCCGGCUGUGGUUGGAAAAGCUCAUUGAAUACACUGGGAAAGAAAAUCUGUCAGCCCGUGACAGGGAUUAUUUUAAUAACCUAAAAUCUUAUUGCUUCUGGAACAUCUGCUCUUUGGUGGAGCAAACAAAUAGGUUUUAAUUUCAUUGCCUUAACUUCAUGGAAAUAAAUUUGAAAAGCGCAAUAACCGAUAUUAUUUA
rnacentral:lncRNA from 1 species